rnacentral:lncRNA from 1 species
CUAGAACCUUGGCUAACCGCCGCGACGACCUCUAACUUCGUAUUUUAAUCUUUGGGCUGCUUAACGAAGCUGCCCUUUUCCCUGACUAUAUCUUAGCCUUCUCGGAUCCCAGUCGUCUCGACCAAAGGGAGCUCCGAGCUUAGGUUUCUAGAAAAUUUCUCUAAGUCCUAUAACUCGGAUCUUAGAGUCGUGGGAGUUGCCACGUUUGGCCUUUAGGAAAAUCUUAAGGCACCGAGGUCGGGCCUUAGCCCUUCAAGUGGGACCGGAAUAGGUCUAUUCGUACCGCUAUUCGGAGAGUUUAGUCGGGUUUCCGAACUCAACUCCGAACCUCUCAUAGGGAGCGUGGGCUAAUAAACAAGUUAUUGCCGAAGGUUUUCAUAGUUAUCGUCCUCGGACCCUGCCGAGAUUUCGGUGAACAAGGCUGGGAUUCCCAAAGAUCGCCUUGGUACCUGUGCUUGGCUGGUACAUUCGUGGCCGAGACCACUUUUCCAGCUGGACGUCGGAGUUUACUUAGAAGAGCCGAGUUGGGUCCUACUUUAUGAAGCCUUAGUACGGAUUACGGAGACUUGACGAACAGAGCAGGCAUAAUGAGGUUGGGAGGUCGGUCUUAAGCCGACCCAGCGAAGAAGCCCGGCUUUGGGGCAAAAUAAGACUCCAACAUUGGACGAGAUCGGCAAUAUGUAGAUAAAAUUUGACAAGGAGGGCGUCUAGUUGGGUGUACCUCUUGCAUUCUCGGGGUCAUGCUUCGCAUGGUGGAGUAGGUCGCUUCCCUUCCUCGUCGACCUCCGGAGUCAUUUUUG